rnacentral:rRNA from 1 species
AUUGAACGCUGGCGGCAGGCCUAACACAUGCAAGUCGAACGGUAACAGGAAACAGCUUGCUGUUUCGCUGACGAGUGGCGGACGGGUGAGUAAUGUCUGGGAAACUGCCUGAUGGAGGGGGAUAACUACUGGAAACGGUAGCUAAUACCGCAUAACGUCGCAAGACCAAAGAGGGGGACCCUCGGGCCUCUUGCCAUCGCAUGUGCCCAGAUGGGAUUAGCUUGUUGGUGGGGUAACGGCUCACCAAGGCGACGAUCCCUAGCUGGUCUGAGAGGAUGACCAGCCACACUGGAACUGAGACACGGUCCAGACUCCUACGGGAGGCAGCAGUGGGGAAUAUUGGACAAUGGGCGCAAGCCUGAUGCAGCCAUGCCGCGUGUAUGAAGAAGGCCUUCGGGUUGUAAAGUACUUUCAGCGGGGAGGAAGGGAGUAAAGUUAAUACCUUGGCUCAUUGACGUUACCAGCAGAAGAAGCACCGGCUAACUCCGUG